GGACCCGCACAAGCGGUGGAGCAUGUGGUUUAAUUCGAUGCAACGCGAAGAACCUUACCUGGGUCUUGACAUCCUGCGAACUUUCUAGAGAUAGAUUGGUGCCUUCGGGAACGCAGUGACAGGUGCUGCACGGCUGUCGUCAGCUCGUGUUGUGAAAUGUUGGUUAAGUCCCGCAACGAGCGCAACCCCUAUUGAUAGUUACCAUCAUUAAGUUGGGUACUCUAUUGAGACUGCCGCUGACAAGGCGGAGGAAGGUGGGGACGACGUCAAGUCAUCAUGGCCCUUACGACCAGGGCUACACACGUGCUACAAUGGGCGGUACAAAGGGCAGCCACUAUGCGAAUAGGAG
rnacentral:rRNA from 1 species